rnacentral:rRNA from 1 species
AGAGUUUGAUCCUGGCUCAGGAUGAACGCUGGCGGUAUGCCUAACACAUGCAAGUCGAACGAUGUCUUCGGACAUAGUGGCGGACGGGUGAGUAACGCGUGAGAAUCUGCCUCUAGGAUGGGGAUAACGGUUGGAAACGACCGCUAACACCCAAUAUGCCGUAAGGUGAAAAAUUUAUUGCCUGGAGAGGAGCUCGCGUCUGAUUAGCUAGUUGGUGGGGUAAGAGCUCACCAAGGCUUCGAUCAGUAGCUGGUCUGAGAGGAUGAGCAGCCACACUGGGACUGAGACACGGCCCAGACUCCUACGGGAGGCAGCAGUGGGGAAUUUUCCGCAAUGGGCGAAAGCCUGACGGAGCAAUACCGCGUGAGGGAGGAAUGCCUUUGGGUUGUAAACCUCUUUUCUCAGGGAAGAAGAUCUGACGGUACCUGAGGAAUAAGUAUCGGCUAACUCCGUGCCAGCAGCCGCGGUAAUACGGAGGAUGCAAGCGUUAUCCGGAAUCAUUGGGCGUAAAGCGUCCGCAGGUGGUUUCCAAAGUCUGCUGUUAAAGACUGGAGCUCAACUCCGGAACGGCGGUGGAAACUUGGAAACUAGAGUUCGGUAGGGGUAGCAGGAAUUCCCAGUGUAGCGGUGAAAUGCGUAGAUAUUGGGAAGAACAUCGGUGGCGAAGGCGUGCUACUGGACCGUAACUGACACUCAGGGACGAAAGCUAGGGGAGCGAAAGGGAUUAGAUACCCCUGUAGUCCUAGCUGUAAACGAUGGAAACUAGGUGUGGCUUGUAUCGACCCGAGCCGUGCCGUAGCUNACGCGUUAAGUUUCCCGCCUGGGGAGU